UCAACAUAAUAUCGAAGGCGUCUCGACUCAAGCUAAACUGGGACUUCACGGCCAUUAGACGUGCAAUGGCAUCCAGUUGAGACACCUUGGUAUGCCCGUGAAGGGGUUGCUGUGCCGCAGACAACAUGUCGUAAUACGCCUUUGCGGUAGCCUCGGGCUCCUCCUCCCUACGAGCUUCAUGAUAGUCAUCUAACAUGUCUCCCACCCCGGCCUCAUCAUCAUAUUCCUCGAUACGUUGUCUG
rnacentral:lncRNA from 1 species